rnacentral:rRNA from 1 species
UAAGGAAUAUUGGACAAUGGAGGCAACUCUGAUCCAGCCAUGCCGCGUGAAGGAAUAAGGCCCUAUGGGUUGUAAACUUCUUUUAGACGGGACAAAACCCCUUUACGUGUAAAGGGUUGAUGGUACUGUCAGAAUAAGCAUCGGAUAACUUCGUGCCAGCAGCCGCGGUAAUACGAAGGAUGCAAGCGUUAUCCGGAAUUAUUGGGUUUAAAGGGUGCGUAGGCGGACUAAUAAGUCAGUGGUGAAAGCCUGCAGCUUAACUGCAGAAUUGCCAUUGNUACUGUUAGUCUUGAGUACAGUUGAGGUAGGCGUAAUGUGUCAUGUAGCGGUGAAAUGCUUAGAUAUGACACAGAACACCGAUUGCGAAGGCAGCUUGCUAAGCUGUAACUGACGCUGAGGCACGAAAGCGUGGGGAGCAAACA